AGAGAUUCUUUUCUUUGAUUUUGUUCAUACUUUUCCCCGAUUUAUCCAUCCAUCGCAACACACAUUCAAAUCAAUGAAUGGCCGCCACUCGAGUCGAAAAAACGAGCACAGAAGAAUCUCGCAGGAUGGGGAGCACUUUGGGCCACUCGAGCGUUCGAUGACAUUUCGUUUUUUAGUUUUCUCCGCGUAAUUAUUAUAAUACGUAAAUUUGGGCAGUAGGAAUUUGUAGAAUCACUUCAAGUGCUUCAGAGUUUAACGAUUGCCCCGCCAGGUUCAGAUUCGGAUCUGGCCGUAGCUGUACUCCGCCAUAAAAGCCAGCCGUGGUGGUGUGUGCUCCACUUGGACUGGCCGUAUGUACAGAUGUAUAACCCAUUUGGCCGUUUAGUCCGAACUAUAACGCCGCUUCAACCCGAUGACAAGAUAGUUCAGAUUCUAAGGCAUGCCGCAGAAUACGUUCGUUGAUUUGCGGUAAUUGCGCACAGACGCCUGCCGGGGCAUUGGAUUUCGGCUCGGAGUGGAUACCUAUGCUGUGUACUAUAUACAAUAUUUCCACCAGUAUAUAUAAAUCGGACAUGGUCUGGUCCAUAACUAUAAGUAGCCGUAAGAGUCAACAAUGCCGGGCUUUAUUUUAAGGCACAAGGUUGAGUUUUGUUGCUCCGGUUCGCGCCGUGUGUAGGUUCACAAUCGCUGGGUUCGAGUUUGAGUAGAGCAUGUAGAUUCGACGCAGCCGACCAAAAUCUAAACCAGUUUGCUUAUUUAAUUUCAAUGCUUAGUUUUGAAGUCGCAUUGAUUGGAGUGAUUACUACUACAACAAAAGCGGAGUGCCAGCAAACAAACCAAUGUACAUCGGGUUGACGUAAUAAUUUAGUUACAUUUCCGAAUCAAAUCAAAAAUGGCAUCAAAUCGCUUGUGAGAUCCUGGAGAGCAGCGAUGAUUUUAAAUGGCGACAUUUGCGAGUUCUUUCGGGCACAGAAUUUCACAGUUGGCAUCUUCGAACUUCAUCUUCGACUAACUUGGCUGGAGCCCCACCCUGGCGAAUAAUUGGCACUCGCCUCGAAUUUAAAUGAUUCUGGCAUUCCUUGAAUGCACUGACAGAAACUCUGGCUUCUUUUUUGGGCUUGAGAACCCUCCAUUGAAGAAUCUAUUCUAUAUCAGCAUGCCGUUUUCUCUGCGUGUAUCUUCCCAAAAGGAGGGGUUUAACCACCCCGCAGCUCAUGACUAAAAUUUAAACAGCGCCAUAAUAGUCGGCCGUAAUAAUUAAUUGUUUGCUAAUAAAUAUGAGUUUAUAUAUAGGAAGAGCGCAAAUAAUAAAAAAUAAUAAGCGCACGCGCCGCGUCUCCAAUGACUAA
rnacentral:sRNA from 1 species